rnacentral:misc_RNA from 1 species
GAUGAAGAACGUAGCGAAAUGCGAUAAGUAAUGUGAAUUGCAGAAUUCCGUGAAUCAUCGAAUCUUUGAACGCACAUUGCGCCCCCUGGUAUUCCGGGGGGCAUGUCUGUCCGAGCGUCAUUGCAACCUUCAAGCGCGGCUUGUGUGUUGGGUCUCGUCCCCCGUGGACGGGCCCGAAAGGCAGUGGCGGCGUCCCGACAUGGUGCCCGAGCGUAUGGGAAUCCUCUUCCGCUCGAAUCGGCCCAUGCGGCGCUGGUCGUAACCAAAUUUUUUACCGGUUGACCUCGGAUCAGGUAGGGAUACCCGCUGAACUUAAGCAUAUCAAUAAGCGGAGGA